UAAUCACUACAUUCAUACAGUUUAUUGACUGGGUCCAGUUCACUAAUAAUCACUACAUUCAUACAGUUUAUUGACUGGGUCCAGCUCACUAAUAAUCACUACAUUCAUACAGUUUAUUGACUGGGUCCAGCUCACUAAUAAUCACUACAUUCAUACAGUUUAUUGACUGGGUCCAGCUCACUAAUAAUCACUACAUUCAUACAGUUUAUUGACUGGGUCCAGCUCACUAAUAAUCACUACAUUCAUACAGUUUAUUGACUGGGUCCAGUUCACUAAUAAUCACUACAUUCAUACAGUUUAUUGACUGGGUCCAGCUCACUAAUAAUCACUACAUUCAUACAGUUUAUUGACUGGGUCCAGUUCACUAAUAAUCACUACAUUCAUACAGUUUAUUGACUGGGUCCAGCUCACUAAUAAUCACUACAUUCAUACAGUUUAUUGACUGGGUCCAGUUCACUAAUAAUCACUACAUUCAUACAGUUUAUUGACUGGGUCCAGCUCACUAAUAAUCACUACAUUCAUACAGUUUAUUGACUGGGUCCAGUUCACUAAUAAUCACUACAUUCAUACAGUUUAUUGACUGGGUCCAGCUCACUAAUAAUC